CUAAUUCCGUGCCAGCAGCCGCGGUAAUACGGAAGGUGCAAGCGUUAUCCGGAAUCACUGGGUUUAAAGGGUGCGUAGGCGGUUGCGUAAGUCAGAAGUGAAAGCUCACAGCUUAACUGUGGAAUUGCUUUUGAUACUGCGCGACUAGAAUUAGGUUGAGGUUGGCGGAAUGUGACAUGUAGCGGUGAAAUGCAUAGAUAUGUCAUAGAACACCAAUUGCGAAGGCAGCUGACUGGACCUAUAUUGACGCUGAGGCACGAAAGCGUGGGGAGCGAACAGGAUUAGAUACCCUGGUAGUCCACGCCCUAAACGAUGCUUACUCGAUGUGUGAACUAUUGCGCAUCCAAGGGAAACCGUUAAGUAAGCCACCUGGGGAGUACGUUCGCAAGAAUGAAACUCAAAUGAAUUGACGG
rnacentral:rRNA from 1 species